rnacentral:tRNA from 1 species
GCGGCGGUAAUUCAGUUGGUAGAAUGCGACCUUGCCAAGGUCGAUGUCGUGGGUUCGAACCCCAUCCGCCGCU